CCCAACGGGUCUGUCUCUAUCGUCUCACAAUACACACGGGAAAUUAGCAUUUCUCUAUGUAGGCCUCAAGUGAUGUGUGACUACCCCCUAAAUUUAGCUA
rnacentral:rRNA from 1 species